rnacentral:misc_RNA from 1 species
AAGUCGUAACAAGGUAACCGUAGGUGAACCUGCGGUUGGAUCAUUACAAAAAACAGUUUGGUUGUUUUCGAUUUUGUGUGUCGUUAAAAAACACACAAGAGAAAGAACAAUCAAAACCAACCCCCCCGUGAACGUAAAUAUGUACUUUUGGCAGCCCUCCAAAAAAAACCUUUUUUUUUAUUAAGAAAGGCUUGGGCUGCCAAACACUCGCUCAAAAGAAAACUUGUUUUUUUUUUUGACGGGUAAAUUUGACCACACCAAUGUUAUUUUUAUAUAUCUUAAUCGUCUCCUUUUUUUUUUGUUUCAGAAAUGAAAGAAGAAAAAAAAACAAAUAUAAUAAACAACAACUUUUGACAACGGAUCUCUUGGCUCUC